GCUGCGGCUGCACUGACUGGUCUGGCCCACCGGAGCAGGCUGCGGCCGCUCUGCCCAGCCUGCCGGAGCAGCUCCAGCCAGGCCAGAGACGUCCUCCCCUGGCCCUCCCCAGAUAAGAGGGAGAUGUGUGCGCUGUGGAGCAUAACUGCUGUCUCACCUGAAAGUGGUAUCCCAUGUCAACUGUGUUGUUAAAUGCUGCAGAGAGUUUUCUUUUUAAUCACAAGAAAUUGUACAAAAUUCCUUUCUUCCAAGGAGUGUCACUGUGGGGCGUACUGCCACUGAGGAGUAACAAUGUUACUUAAAAAUAUUGAGUCCUGACUUAAACUAGCACUCAUUUUUCAGCAAUAUCCUGUAAAAAAACACAGGUGUAAGUAUUUGACUUCUACUCUGUUAAUAUUUAAUAAUCCAAAUUAAGGACGUAACAUUUACAUUUUGGCUGCCCAUCAAACCUUCAAAUGUAUGUAUAUAAUGUCAUUCUAAUCCUGAAUUGAUUCUGCAUUCCACAGAACAUUGUGUGAGUGCAUAGUAGUUAAGAUGGGUAUUUACCUACUCCCCACUGCAUUUAUUUUGGAAUAUGUGACACAUUUCCAGGUAGCUCAAGUGAUCUAGAUAAGAAAGAGUAAAGAUCAUUUCUUUCAUCAUAAAAUAUUUCUCAAAUUUCUUGGAAAAAAUGAAGAAAAAACCAACCUUGGAAUAUGGAACUGCAGUGUAGAAUGUAUUGCACAACCCCACAGAUGCCACAUUCUUCUUUGUAGUAUAUUAAAUUGUUCAUAGAUUUAAGUCACAGGUUCUAUUCCACCAUGGGAUAGAUUCUUUUCUGAGUGAAUGACAUU